UACGAAGGGGGCUAGCGUUGCUCGGAAUCACUGGGCGUAAAGCGCACGUAGGCGGCUUCUUAAGUCAGGGGUGAAAUCCUGGAGCUCAACUCCAGAACUGCCUUUGAUACUGGGAGUCUCGAGUCCGGGAGAGGUGAGUGGAACUGCGAGUGUAGAGGUGAAAUUCGUAGAUAUUCGCAAGAACACCAGUGGCGAAGGCGGCUCACUGGAGCGGUACUGACGCUGAGGUGCGAAAGCGUGGGGAGCAAACAGG
rnacentral:rRNA from 1 species